UUGUUUCCUAAAGGUCUUUCCUCAACAGACCAACAGCAUUGAUUGUGGAGUUUUCAUGCUCAUGUAUGCCCUUUACACUGUGCUGAACACUCCAUUCAAUUUCACUUCGCUUGACAUGCCUGCAAUCAGGGAGUGGUGGUGUCUACGUCUAACUGAGCGGUUUGAGACAGAGGGGCAUGGGAAAAGGUUCGCCCACUGGACUGAGGAGGCAAGAUACCUGACUGAAGGGACAUUAUGACCUCUUUACAGGAGUUUUCCAGGAUUAACACAUGACUUGCCACAACAUGUUGUUGCAGAGAGGAACCGAAUGUUGUCCAACCAGGCUCUGGUGGACUUCAUUGUAGCAAGAGGAACCGAAAACCACAUUCAGGUACAUGCAUCAAGAAUGCAUUUUUUUAACUGCAUUCUAAACCAAUAGCUUGUCUAGUAAAUAAACAACUUACACUUACAUGGAAAUGUUUUUAAUGUAAUUUUCAAUUUUCUCUGCACAGUCCAUCAUCAAUGGACAAAAAAAAUCAAAGUGGCUUGACACUUUUUCCAAGUGUUCCAUCAAGAAAGUGCCUGUGCCGUCGUUCACUGACGAUCAGGAGCAAAUUGAUGUUAUCUACACUCACCUGACUUCAGUUCUGGACAGCACACACACACACCCACAGUGACCAGAUCAGAUUCAUUAUGGAUGUCCUUUUUCCAGAGGUAGGUCUUGUGUGUUAGUUGUGCUCUGCAUGCUGUCAUAUUCACAUUGUUUUUAAUGUCAAAUAGUUUAUCCAUAAUGUUAGACCAUUGCUCUAAAAAUAAUAGUUUUGUGCUUAAUAUAGAAAAGGCACUUUUGAUUUUGUUGAAAAAAAAAAA